rnacentral:rRNA from 1 species
UUGCAUAUCAAUAAGCGGAGGAAAAGAAACCAACAGGGAUUGCCUUAGUAGCGGCGAGUGAAGCGGCAAAAGCUCAAAUUUGAAAUCUGGCUCUUUCAGAGUCCGAGUUGUAAUUUGAAGAAGGUAUCUUUGGGUCUGGCUCUUGUCUAUGUUUCUUGGAACAGAACGUCACAGAGGGUGAGAAUCCCGUGCGAUGAGAUGAUCCAGGCCUAUGUAAAGUUCCUUCGAAGAGUCGAGUUGUUUGGGAAUGCAGCUCUAAGUGGGUGGUAAAUUCCAUCUAAAGCUAAAUAUUGGCGAGAGACCGAUAGCGAACAAGUACAGUGAUGGAAAGAUGAAAAGAACUUUGAAAAGAGAGUGAAAAAGUACGUGAAAUUGUUGAAAGGGAAGGGCUUGAGAUCAGACUUGGUAUUUUGUAUGUUACUUCUUCGGGGGUGGCCUCUACAGUUUAUCGGGCCAGCAUCAGUUUGGGCGGUAGGAGAAUUGCGUUGGAAUGUGGCACGGCUUUGGUUGUGUGUUAUAGCCUUCGUCGAUACUGCCAGCCUAGACUGAGGACUGCGGUUUAUACCUAGGAUGUUGGCAUAAUGAUCUUAAGUCGCCCGUCUUGAACC